UUCAAUAGAACGAGAUCUCUCAAGGGUGGUCGGCUCACUCUCUCAUGUCUAAAAACGAGGGGGUGAUGCUGGUGGAGGUUUAUCAAGCGCUGACGCUUAUGUUUAUGUUUGGCAUGUUCAUUUUGGCGCUGCUUACUUACCUCAAAAAGAAAUAGACCGCCCUUGAGCUUGCGAGGCCAGGCGGCGGUCUUUUCACUGUAACACAUAUGGAGCCGCUCCCUUGUAGGAACGUCUAUUGAAGUAACCGUGGGUGCGGGAACACCUACG
rnacentral:sRNA from 1 species